UCGAGAAUAUUCGACAAUGGGCGAAAGCCUGAUCGAGCGACGCCGCGUGGAGGAAGACGUACUUCGGUAUGUAAACUCCUUUUGUAGACUAGUAAAUUUUGAACAGUCUAAGAAUAAGAGGUUGCUAAACUCGUGCCAGCAGCAGCGGUAAUACGAGUGCCUCAAGCGUUAUCCGGAAUUAUUGGGCGUAAAGGGUGUGUAGGUGGUUUUGUUAGUCUUCUGUCAAAUUUCUCAGCUUAACUGGGAACUCGCAGGGGAAACGGCAAGACUGUAGAGGGUGCGAGGGGUCUGUGGAACUCUAGGUGUAGCGGUGAAAUGCGUUGAUAUCUAGGGGAACACCAAAAGCGAAGGCAGCAGACUGGAGCAUUCCUGACACUGAAACACGAAAGCGUGGGUAGCG
rnacentral:rRNA from 1 species